rnacentral:piRNA from 1 species
UGACGUGUGGUCCUCAGGUAGCUCCA